rnacentral:rRNA from 4 species
AAAUGACUCUCGGCAACGGAUAUCUCGGCUCUUGCAUCGAUGAAGAACGUAGCGAAAUGCGAUACGUGGUGUGAAUUGCAGAAUCCCGUGAACCAUCGAGUUUUUGAACGCAAGUUGCGCCCAAAGCCUUUUGGUUGAGGGCACGUCUGCCUGGGUGUCACAC